UGGGCCGUUGUGCUUCUUUCGGGUGCAAAGAAAUGGGAGUUUAUAAGUUUCCUGAAGAAACUGUUAUGAGAAGAAAAUGGGAAAAAUCUUUGAGGUUAGUAAACUACAAAUGUACUGAUCAUUCUAGGUUAUGUGGUGAACAUUUCAAAGAUCUUGAUUUUGAGACUACUUCAAAGACAACUGGGUUUUCACUCCAAAAAAUUUUUUUUGAAAAAUCAGCUGUACCUUCCAUAUUUCCCUGUACUUCGAAUUCUAUCAGUCCACGGAUGUUGAGAUUGGAAAAAAAGGAAUGCUAAACGUGAUUUGAAGUCAGCUAGUAGUGAAUCAUCUGAAAUUUUCAAAGAUAAAGAUAACCAGCUUCCUCUCAAUGAUAUAAAUUAUCUAGACCUCCAACAAGAAAUUGCCUCAGAAGUUACUUUCCACCCCGAGGAAGAUAAUCCUGAUAAGGAAAGCCACCUAAUCAGCCAGUCCACACAAACACCAACUUUAUUCAGAUUAUAUUCCAAUGAUGAAUUUUUAAUGAACAAAAAAUCUGUUCCUUAUUAUACAUGUCUCUCUUGAGGGAUAUUCUCGAAAUUGAAAUGUCUAUCAUUACUAUCAUAAGCCUCUAAUCUGAAAACAAAAUUGAACCUUAAAACUUGCAUGUUUUU